AUGUGGGGGUUAAAGUGUGUUCACAAAUAAGUUCUUUAUCCACAAUUGUUUGAGGAGGUGAAACGUUAGCCUUUCAUUCAUCCAAGCUUUGGAAAACCCAGAAAGUGCAGAAUUGUGAACAAAUCAUCACCAACAAGCCAUGGCAGCAACUUCAACCUGUAUGGCUUCAACUACCUUCUCCAUGCUGGGAUGGAGAAGUAGCAAAAGGGAAGUAAGAAAAAAAAGUGUAUUCUCAGUUUCAUCUCAGCAAGCAGAAGUCGAAGAACAAGUGAAAACCGAAGAAGCAACAAAAGAAAAGGACACGAAACAGCAGGCAACGACACCCCUAAGGCCAAUCGAACCACAGGUGAAUGUGAAGAGCAAAAAUAUGGGCAGAGAAUAUGGUGGACAGUGGCUGAGCAGUGCCACCAGACAUGUUAGGAUUUAUGCAGCCUAUAUCGACCCUGAAACAUGCGAAUUCGACCAAACACAGAUGGAUAAACUCACUCUCAUCCUUGACCCUACUGAUGAGUUUGUGUGGACAGAUGAAACCUGCAACAAAGUUUACUCCUAUUUUCAAGAACUUGUGGAUCAUUACGAGGGAGCCCCGUUGACUGAAUAUACCCUUCGAUUGAUUGGUUCUGAUAUAGAACACUACAUCAGGAAGCUGCUUUAUGAAGGAGAAAUCCAAUACAACAUGAAUGCAAGGAUGUUGAACUUCAGCAUGGGAAAACCGCGCAUUGGAUUUAACUACAACGAUGGCCAAAUCCAAGAUGUACAAUAGCCAACAGAGGCACCUUGAGGCAUUGAAGCCAAAGAGUGGAAGAUGUUCAAUCCUACCUCGCCUGCAGUCACCAAACGACGACGGCACAUAAUAAAGGUGGAGGAUUAUGGACGAUUCAUAUCAUUCUCAGACAGAUACCUUCUCUCAUUCGACCGUGAUAUUGUUUCCCAUACUUCUCUAGAGGGAAACCAAGUUGCCAAAUUUACUUGCUUCUGAGGGUUGAGAUCAAUGCCAUUAUGAGUAUGGACCUCUUGAGUUUCCACGACAACUUCAAGCUCUUGUUCAGAUUGACAAAUGUGGACUUCCUAGUAUUAAAUGACGUUAGUUUGCUUCACACCUUUCAUUUACUUAUUUAUGUGUAUGAAGUAGUACUUCCUCAUUUAUUUCAUUCUUACAUAUGUUCUA